rnacentral:rRNA from 1 species
GAUGAACGCUGGCGGCGUGCCUAAUACAUGCAAGUCGAGCGAACAGACGAGGAGCUUGCUCCUCUGACGUUAGCGGCGGACGGGUGAGUAACACGUGGAUAACCUACCUAUAAGACUGGGAUAACUUCGGGAAACCGGAGCUAAUACCGGAUAAUAUAUUGAACCGCAUGGUUCAAUAGUGAAAGACGGUUUUGCUGUCACUUAUAGAUGUAUCCGCGCCGCAUUAGCUAGUUGGUAAGGUAACGGCUUACCAAGGCAACGAUGCGUAGCCGACCUGAGAGGGUGAUCGGCCACACUGGAACUGAGACACGGUCCAGACUCCUACGGGAGGCAGCAGUAGGGAAUCUUCCGCAAUGGGCGAAAGCCUGACGGAGCAACGCCGCGUGAGUGAUGAAGGUCUUCGGAUCGUAAAACUCUGUUAUGAGGGAAGAACAAAUGUGUAAGUAACUAUGCACGUCUUGACGGUACCUAAUCAGAAAGCCACGGCUAACUACGUG